AGAGUUUGAUUCUGGCUCAGAACGAACGCUGGCAGCGUGGAUUAGGCAUGCAAGUCGAACGAGAUCUUUAAUGACCGAUUCUUCGGAAAAGUGAAUUUUAGUGAGAGUGGCGGAAGGGUGAGUUACGCGUGGGCAAUCUACCUUAGAGUUGGGGACAACAUCCCGAAAGGUUGCUAAUACCGAAUGAGGUAUUCCAACAUAAGUUGGGAUUACUAAAGAUGGGGAUUCUUCGGAACCUGUCGCUCUGAGAGGAGCCCGCGUGCUAUCAGCUUGUUGGUGAGGUAACGGCUCACCAAGGCUUACGGCUAGCUGGUCUGAGAGGAUGACCAGCCACACUGGGACUGAGACACUGCCCAGACUCCUACGGGAGGCUGCAGUCGAGGAUCAUUUGCAAUGCGCGAAAGCGUGACAAUGCGACGCUGCGUGGAGGAUGACGGCCUUAGGGUUGUAAACUCCUGUCAUUUGGGAAAAAUUGCACACUAGUUAAUACCUUAUGUGCUUGAUGGUACCAAAAGAGGAAGCCACGGCUAACUCUGUGCCAGCAGCCGCGGUAAUACAGAGGUGGCAAGCGUUGUUCGGAUUUACUGGGCGUAAAGAGUACGUAGGUGGUUUCGUGUGUCGGGUGUGAAAGCCCACGGCUCAACCGUGGAAUUGCAUUCGAAACUGCGAGACUAGAGUACAGGAGGGGAGAGCGGAAUUCUUGGUGUAGCGGUGAAACGUGUUGAUAUCAAGAAGAACACCGGUGGCGAAGGCGGCUCUCUGGAAUGUUACUGACACUGAGGUACGAAAGCUGGGGGAGCAAACAGGAUUAGAUACCCUGGUAGUCCCAGCUGUAAACGGUGCGCACUUGGUGUGGCGGGUACUGACCCCCGCCGUGCCGGAGCUAACGCGUUAAGUGCGCCGCCUGGGGAGUACGGCCGCAAGGCUAAAACUCAAAGAAAUUGACGGGGGCCCGCACAAGCGGAGGAGCAUGUGGCUUAAUUCGAUGCAACGCGAAGAACCUUACCAGAGCUUGACAUGGUGACCCUUCGGGGGUAGAGGUGAAAGUCUCUUUUACAAUCACAGGUGCUGCAUGGCUGUCGUCAGUUCGCGCCGUGAGGUGUUUGGUUAAGUCCAGCAACGAACGCAACCCUUGUGUCUAGUUGCCACUCCAGGUUUACCUGGAAGCACUCUAGACAGACUGCCCGUACAAGCGGGAGGAAGGUGGGGAUGACGUCAAGUCAGUAUGGCCCUUACGCCCUGGGCUGCACACGUGCUACAAUGGUCGGUACAGAAGGACGCAAUACCGUGAGGUGGAGCAAAUCCCCAAAACCGGCCCCAGUUCGGAUUGGAGUCUGCAACUCGACUCCAUGAAGUUGGAUUCGCUAGUAACGGCGUAUCAGCUACGACGCCGUGAAUACGUUCCCGGGCCUUGUACACACCGCCCGUCACAUCAUGAAAGCCGUCUGCACCCGAAGUCGCUGAGCUAACCUUUUAUUAGGAGGCAGGUGCCGAAGGUGUGGGUGGUGAUUGGGAU
rnacentral:rRNA from 1 species